GCCGCUGUGGCGGAACUGGUAGACGCGCACGACUCAAAAUCGUGUGGCCUAUGGUCAUGUCGGUUCGACUCCGACCAGCGGCA
rnacentral:tRNA from 1 species